AGAGUUUGAUCCUGGCUCAGGAUGAACGCUAGCGGGAGGCCUAACACAUGCAAGUCGAACGGGAUUGAGAGCUUGCUCUCAUGAGAGUGGCGCACGGGUGAGUAACGCGUAUGCAACCUACCUAUAACUGAGGGAUAGCCCAUAGAAAUGUGGAUUAAUACCUCAUAGUUCUUUUAGUCCGCAUGGACUGAAAGAUAAAGCUCCGGCGGUUAUAGAUGGGCAUGCGUGACAUUAGCUAGUUGGUAAGGUAACGGCUUACCAAGGCUACGAUGUCUAGGGGUUCUGAGAGGAUGAUCCCCCACACUGGUACUGAGACACGGCCCAAACUCCUACGGGAGGCAGCAGUAGGGAAUCUUCCGCAAUGGACGAAAGUCUGACGGAGCAACGCCGCGUGAGUGAAGAAGGUUUUCGGAUCGUAAAACUCUGUUGUCAGAGAAGAACAAGUCGGAGAGUAACUGCUCCGGCCUUGACGGUAUCUGACCAGAAAGCCACGGCUAACUACGUGCCAGCAGCCGCGGUAAUACGUAGGUGGCAAGCGUUGUCCGGAUUUAUUGGGCGUAAAGCGAGCGCAGGCGGUUCCUUAAGUCUGAUGUGAAAGCCCACGGCUCAACCGUGGAAGGUCAUUGGAAACUGGGGAACUUGAGUGCAGAAGAGGAGAGUGGAAUUCCAUGUGUAGCGGUGAAAUGCGUAGAUAUAUGGAGGAACACCAGUGGCGAAGGCGACUCUCUGGUCUGUAACUGACGCUGAGGCUCGAAAGCGUGGGGAGCAAACAGGAUUAGAUACCCUGGUAGUCC
rnacentral:rRNA from 1 species